rnacentral:rRNA from 1 species
CAGUAGCCGCGGUAAUACGUAGGGUGCAAGCGUUAAUCGGAAUUACUGGGCGUAAAGCGUGCGCAGGCGGUUAUGUAAGACAGUUGUGAAAUCCCCGGGCUCAACCUGGGAACUGCAUCUGUGACUGCAUAGCUAGAGUACGGUAGAGGGGGAUGGAAUUCCGCGUGUAGCAGUGAAAUGCGUAGAUAUGCGGAGGAACACCGAUGGCGAAGGCAAUCCCCUGGACCUGUACUGACGCUCAUGCACGAAAGCGUGGGGAGCAAACAGGAUUAGAUACCCGCGUAGUCCCUGUCUCUUAUAC